AUGUGUUUGUUUACAGUAAAUGGCACUGUACAGUGUAUGUUCUAUCUAAAAACAACAACAACAACAACAACAACAACAACAGUGGCUGUGCAGCACAGGGAGAAGUACCAAAGUAGGAUGGCGCAAGUAGGAAGGAGUCAGCACAGUCCAGGAGACACCAUCAACACCAUCACUACAACCCUCAGGGGUCAUGGAAAGCAGGAAGCUGUCUAGGGAGCUCAUGGAAGACCUUAUGAAGUUUGUUCCAUCCAGGGAAACACUGAAAGUUGCUGGAUUAGAAGGCAAGACUGGAAGAAAAGACUUGUCCUGCAAAGACUCUGGGAGAUGUGUUUUCAAUUUUUUGUAUUUAACCUAUCUCCUCCAGUUGCCUUGUUAGAGAGAUAACUUGCUGUAGCUUAUUAGUCUGCAUUAUGCUGAGUCUAGGAGCCUUCUGAUGUGUUGGUGUAUUCAUUUUAGACAAAAUACUGACCAAUUCUAUUUCAAGGCUCUGCUAAUUGGGGUUCUGUCAUAGUCUUUGUUCCUCAUAUGAAAAACAGGAGAUUUCUAGAGUUCCUGAUAUGACUGUAUCUAUGGAAAGGACUGUGUUAUUUGCACUUGGGGGUGUGCCAGUAAAUUCAAGGUCCAUCUUCUUCUUUUAUUUUUUGGAAAAAAUACAGCUUUACAAAUCUGUACUGUAGACCACAGUUGGUUUCUGGAUCCUUGGCACUAUAGCAUGUAUUUGUUUGCCAUUUAUUUUUAUCUCACUUUGUAGCUCUUGGGACAAGCUUCCUUUGCAGGUAAAGGCAAAUAUCUGGAUUUCUGUCGCACUGGGGCCAAAUCACAUUAGAGUUUCAUUGUGGGAACAAAUGCAGCUUCACAGCUCAUUGCGCAGCCAGUGCAGUCUGGAGAUAAUGGAGAGGACACAAAACAAGAAAAUACAUGAAAGAAAUAUAGCCAUUAGUAACCUUGCUAGUACCUAUUUGCUCUCUCAGUAAGGAUGGCAAUUCACCCAUUAUAAAUCUCCUAAAGUGUGCACAUAUCAGGUGUUGCCCCUUCAGUUAAGUAAACAGACCCAGGGACUGUUUUCUUCCUUAAGCCACCAAAUACAGGUUGGGUUCAUAAAACUUUGUCCUUUGAUAUCUUUGCAAGUAAACAGAUGCAAGGCAAAUUAAAACAGCUGACUGUUUCUAGACUCACUUGAGCAGACUGUGGCUUUCCACAAGGGAUUUAUACAUCAGCUGAAUAAUGCAGUUUAUAAGGAGUGUGAAGUGAGCUGCAUUUAUCUACAUUCAGGAAAUAACUAUGUAGAAUGAGCCUUAUUCUUCUCUUCAUUUACCCAAGUUUCAAGUGGAUUCCAGGGGGAUUUCUCCUUGCAGCAGCCUAUAUGAGAAUAAAAACCAAGGAUUUCACA
rnacentral:lncRNA from 1 species